GAUAUUUAAUGGCCGCAGUAAUUUAACUGUGCUAAGGUAGCAUAAUAGCUUGUCUUUUAAUUGAAGUCUGGAAUGAAAGGUUUAAUAAGGUCAAACUUUGUUUCGUAACUGGAUUGAAUUUAGUAAUUAGGUGAGAAUACCUAGAUGCCCACAAAAGACGAUAAGACCCUAUGAAAUUUUAUACACGAUGUAUAGAUACAUAAUUUCAAGAUUGGCUUUCAUACAAUCAUUGUAUUUAACUGGGACGGUUAGUGUUUUAUUAUUAACACCACAUAUAAAAGAAUAAACCAAGUUAAUUGAUAUAAAGAACCUUAAAAAAGAUGAAUGAAUAAAUUACUCUAGGGAUAACAGCGUAAUUUCUUUGUAAAGUUCUUAUAGAUAAAGAA
rnacentral:rRNA from 1 species